UACGUAGGGGGCAAGCGUUGUCCGGAUUUAUUGGGCGUAAAGAGCGUGUAGGCGGCCAUACAGGUCAGCUGUGAAAACUCGAGGCUCAACCUCGAGACGUCGGUCGAAACCGUAUGGCUAGAGUCCGGAAGAGGAGAGUGGAAUUCCCGGUGUAGCGGUGAAAUGCGCAGAUAUCGGGAAGAACACCCGUGGCGAAGGCGGCUCUCUGGGACGGUACUGACGCUGAGACGCGAAAGCGUGGGGAGCGAACAGG
rnacentral:rRNA from 1 species